CUACGGGGCGCUGCAGUGGGGAAUAUUGCACAAUGGAGGAAACUCUGAUGCAGCAACGCCGCGUGGAGGAUGACACUUUUCGGAGCGUAAACUCCUUUUAUAUAGGAAGAAGAUGACGGUACUAUAUGAAUAAGCGCCGGCUAACUCCGUGCCAGCAGCCGCGGUAAUAGGGAGGGCGCAAGCGUUACUCGGAAUCACUGGGCGUAAAGAGCGUGUAGGCGGAUUAAAAAGUCAGAAGUGAAAUCCUAUAGCUUAACUAUAGAACUGCUUCUGAAACUCUUAAUCUAGAAUAUGGGAGAGGUAGAUGGAAUUUCUGGUGUAGGGGUAAAAUCCGUAGAGAUCAGAAGGAAUACCGAUUGCGAAGGCGAUCUACUAGAACAUUAUUGACGCUGAGACGCGAAAGCGUGGGGAGCAAACAGGAUUAGAUACCCGGGUAGUC
rnacentral:rRNA from 1 species